CGAACGCUGGCGGCGUGCUUAACACAUGCAAGUCGAACGGAAAGGCCCUGCUUGCAGGGUACUCGAGUGGCGAACGGGUGAGUAACACGUGGGUGAUCUGCCCUGCACUUCGGGAUAAGCCUGGGAAACUGGGUCUAAUACCGGAUAGGAGCCAUUUUUAGUGUGAUGGUUGGAAAGUUUUUUCGGUGUAGGAUGAGCUCGCGGCCUAUCAGCUUGUUGGUGGGGUAAUGGCCUACCAAGGCGGCGACGGGUAGCCGGCCUGAGAGGGUGGACGGCCACAUUGGGACUGAGAUACGGCCCAGACUCCUACGGGAGGCAGCAGUGGGGAAUAUUGCACAAUGGGCGCAAGCCUGAUGCAGCGACGCCGCGUGGGGGAUGUCGGCCUUCGGGUUGUAAACUCCUUUCGCUAGGGACGAAGCUUUUUGUGACGGUACCUAGAUAAGAAGCACCGGCUAACUACGUG
rnacentral:rRNA from 1 species